UACGUAGGGUGCGAGCGUUAAUCGGAAUUACUGGGCGUAAAGCGUGCGCAGGCGGUUAUGUAAGACAGAUGUGAAAUGCCCGGGCUUAACCUGGGAACUGCAUUUGUGACUGCAUGGCUAGAGUUUGGCAGAGGGGGGGUAGAAUUCCACGUGUAGCAGUGAAAUGCGUAGAUAUGUGGAGGAACACCGAUGGCGAAGGCAGCCCCCCUGGGUCAAGACUGACGCUCAUGCACGAAAGGCGUGGGGAGCAAACAGG
rnacentral:rRNA from 1 species